rnacentral:rRNA from 1 species
UACGGGGGGGGCAAGCGUUGUUCGGAAUUACUGGGCGUAAAGGGCUCGUAGGCGGCCAACUAAGUCAGACGUGAAAUCCCCGGGCUUAACCUGGGAAUGGCGUUUGGGACUGGAAGUCUGGAGUGCGGCAGAGGAGACUGGAAUUCCUGGUGUAGCAGUGAAAUGCGUAGAUAUCAGGAGGAACACCGAUGGCGAAGGCAGGUCUCUGGGCUGACACUGACGCUCAUGCACGAAAGCGUGGGGAGCAAACAGG